GACGAACGCUGUUGGCGUGCCUAACACAUGCAAGUCGAGCGAAGUGAGUACUACGGUACGAACUUAGCGGCGGACGGGUGAGUAACGCGUGGACAAUCUACCCUGUAGACUGGGAUAACACCUCGAAAGGGGUGCUAAUACCGGAUAAUGUCGAGAAGCGGCAUCGCUUUUCGAAGAAAGGAGAGAAUCCGCUAUAGGAGGAGUCCGCGUCCCAUUAGCUAGUUGGCGAGGGUAACGGCCCACCAAGGCGACGAUGGGUAGCCGGCCUGAGAGGGUGAACGGCCACACUGGAACUGAGACACGGUCCAGACUCCUACGGGAGGCAGCAGUGGGGAAUAUUGUAUAAUGGGGGAAACCCUGACACAGCAACGCCGCGUGAGCGAAGAAGGCCUUCGGGUUGUAAAGCUCAAUAGUAUGGGAAGAUAAUGACGGUACCAUACGAAAGCCCCGGCUAACUACGUGCCAGCCGCCGCGGUAACAC
rnacentral:rRNA from 1 species